rnacentral:tRNA from 1 species
GAGGGCAUAGCUCAGUGGGGGAGCGUGUACUUAGCAUGCAGGAGGUCCUGGGUUCAAUCCCCAGUCCCUCCU